UUGAGGUUCGUAAAUUUGGGAUUGCAAACCAGAAAUUGGACAUUAAUAGCCUUCUGUUUAAUAUAUAAAAAAAUCAUUUUGGGUCCUUUGAAGGACUAAAUGGGAUUAGAAUUUUUUUGUGCCUAUCGCUACCAGGUAUCCAUUUGUUCCUGUACUUUCUUUUAAAUCUAUUAUGUAUAUAUAUAUACAUAUAUAAGCAACAAUUAAUAAUUAGCAAGUGUUCUAUGUAUAUGUCUAUCUUUAUGAUGGAAUAUCUUAAGUGCUUAGAUUGAUAGUGUUAAAUAGCUUUACGUUAUUCUGCUGGUAAUUAUAUGGGGUCUAGAGCCUAGACCACUUGCAUCCAUAAAAAAAAUUAUUAAAAAAAUUGCUGGGUCAAUAUAUCAAUGAUGAAAUUUUGUUUUUAAUGUAAAAAUUAUUUCUAUUUCUAGGGUGGUGAUUUAUGGCUUGUUUGGAUAUUCAGAUGGAUGUAAAGAAUCAAUAUUAUGCAACUAUAUGGGUGCUCAAGAUAUGCAUUUUCGAGAAAAUGAGCAAAAACUUGCAAAAAAAGGAGGGAGGAGUUAUAGAUAGAAGCCAAGACAUUGCUCUUUUGCACGAUUUCUACAAACUCUAUCGAGAGCGGAAUGACGUGGAAAUGUUACGAGAAGAAGAGUUGAAUUUAAGGGAGACUGGGGUUUUCAGUGGAGACUUGGGCAAGUUGGAGAGAAAGACAGUUAAGAGGAAAAGAGUUUUUGCUACUUUAAAAGUUCUAGGCACAGUCCUUCAGCAGCUGACUGAGGAAAUUCCUGAUGAGCUGAGACGUGUGAUGGAAACUGAUGCAGCUAUGACGGAUGACUUAAUUGCUUAUAAUAUUAUUCCACUUGAUGCUCCUAGCCCAACAAAUCGUAUUGGGUUUUUCCCCGAGGUUCAAGCAGCAAUCUCAGUGUUAAAGUAUAGGGGACUGCCAAAAUUGCCCGAGGAUUUUCCCAUCCCUGCUACAAGAAAAGCUGAUGUUCUUGAUUUUCUGCACUACAUUUUUGGAUUUCAGAUGAAGUCCAUGGCUGGCACCCAAGCUUAGCCUUGGCCCCAGAAGUUGAAGAAGAAAGCUUAGAACUUUUUGUUCAUUUCAAGACUUGAUUCUUCUUCUAGUAGUGUGGGUAAUAUUACCUUAGAUGUCUUAUCAGCUGCCAAGAAGAGUCGAUUCCCAGACCUCAGAGAGAUGACUCUCUAGUCACUGAAGUGGAGCCUUAUAUUCCUUUUAAUUUCAACCCAGUAGGAAUGCAGCAUGUUCUUACCACUAAUUAUCUGUUGGCCGUCCCCAGCAUUCUUGCUUUACAGAUGACGUUAUAGUCACUGGGGUCUUAACUACAAGGUGGUCGCCUGACUUAAAAGAUGUUCGCUGCGACCUUGAUCCUGUGUUGAUUGCUAAUCAUGUGAGAUAUGACAAGUGAAUUAUAAAAGGAUACUUAAGACUCCUUGAAAGUAGUAACUUUGUUAAUUUCUUUGUGUUGAAAGUAGUAACUUUUAGACUCUUUGAAUACUUAAAGAAUAUUUUGCUAUUGAUGACAGUGUUGAAUGUUUUAAACUAAAUUAUGGAUUGUUGAUUUAAUGUAGAAUGUUCUUACUUUUUGUUA